UGGCGGACGGGUGAGUAACGCGUGGAUAACCCGCCGUAUACCGGGGGAUAACACUUAGAAAUAGGUGCUAAUACCGCAUAAGCGCACGGCUCCGCAUGGGGCAGUGUGAAAAAUUCCGGUGGUAUACGAUGGAUCCGCGUCUGAUUAGCUAGUUGGCGGGGUAACGGCCCACCAAGGCAGCGAUCAGUAGCCGGCCUGAGAGGGUGGACGGCCACAUUGGGACUGAGACACGGCCCAAACUCCUACGGAAGGCAGCAG
rnacentral:rRNA from 1 species